CAUUUCCACACGCCUCUCCGGCACCGCGAACGCACCAUCUUGCUUCCCAAGGCGUUGAACCUUCGCCCGACAAUCGAAAGACGCAUGAGAGCAUGGCUGCGCCGCCGACUUCCCCGUAUAAAAUGGCAGCCGCGCGGAGCAGGCAGCUUCCAAGCGACCAGGAAACCCACUGAGAAAGAUCUGGCAAAAAGGGAAGCGAGAGCCCCAAACUAGUUGCACGGGCCGGCGGGGGAAAGAGGAAGACUGAUCGAUCGGCAAAUCGAUGGCGCCGCGGCAGCCUCUGCUCCCGAGCUUCCUCUACGCGCCGUCGUCGUCCGGCGGGGCCGGCUUCGGCAGCGCGCAAGAGGCCGCCGUCGUGGCGGGGGCGCCGAGCGAGCCGCCGUUCGGGAAGAUCGAGAUGUUCUCGCCGGCCUACUACGCGGCCUGCGGCUUCGGGGGCGCCGCCGCCUGCGGGCUCACGCACGCCGCCGUCACGCCGCUCGAUGUCAUCAAGUGCAACAUCCAGAUCGACCCAGCAAAGUACAAGAGCACCUCGUCCGCAUUCAGCGUGGUUCUGAAAGAGCAAGGCGUGCGCGGCUUCUACCGGGGCUGGGCGCCGACCUUCCUGGGCUACAGCGCGCAGGGCGCGUUCAAGUACGGGCUGUACGAGGUGUUCAAGAAGGAGUACAGCGACAUGGCAGGGCCGGAGUACGCCGCCAAGUAUAAGACCCUCAUCUACCUCGCCGGGUCGGCCACGGCCGAGGUCGUCGCCGACGUCGCGCUCUGCCCCAUGGAGGCCGUCAAGGUGCGGGUGCAGACGCAGCCGGGUUACGCCAGGGGGCUGCGUGAUGGGUUCCCCAAGAUCGUCAGGGCCGAAGGCUAUGCAGGGCUGUUCAGAGGGAUGGUUCCUCUUUGGGGGCGACAGAUUCCUUACACCAUGAUGAAGUUCGCGACCUACGAGAACAUCGUUGAGAUGGCGUACAAGCACGUCAUCCCCACCCCGAAGGACCAGUGCAGCAAGCCCCUCCAGCUCGGGGUGAGCUUCGGGAGCGGGUAUAUCGCCGGAGUCUUCUGCGCCGCCAUCUCGCACCCGGCCGACAACCUGGUCUCGUUUCUCAACAACGCCAAGGGUGCCACCGUUGGAGACGCUGUCAAGAACCUCGGCCUCUGGGGCCUCUUCACGCGCGGCCUUCCGCUCCGUAUCCUCAUGAUCGGCACCCUGACCGGUACCCAGUGGGUGAUCUAUGAUUCCUUCAAAGUCAUGGCUGGAUUGCCGACGACCGGUGGAGCUCCGGCUCCUGCGGCGGUCCCUAAGGAAUAAAUUGGAAGAUCUAAAAGCCUUGCAGUAUUCUGGAACUUCGAGAGAAAAUAUGCUGAUACUCGGUAUUACCCAUCAUAAAAUGGAGUAGUUUAUAGUGGAUUGUUGAUUGUAAGAUUGUUCUCGUUCGAGUUGUUCCAUACUCACUGCCUUGUGGAUUUUUUCAGUAGGUUGGUCAAUAUGGGUCUUCUGGAAACAGUACACGUACAGAAGGAUGUCCAUCAUAUCAGAGUAUUGCCUCUUGGCGCUUUAAAGACCUUUGGGUACUUGCAUGCACGAUGAAGACUAAAAAAGGUGGCAAUCUCCAAGAAUGAUGGACUAGGGGUAGUUGCUUAGAAAUGAACAAAAUUCCAUACCGUUACUCAAAGAUCAUUAACCUUGUCUCUAAACUUUUCUCCCACAUUGAAAAUCCUUCUACCUCA